UGUUUUAUUCUGGCUUAUGAAUUUAUUUUAUUUAGGUUUUACAUGUUAAUUUGUGUGGGUAAAGGAAAGAUUUUUAAAAAGUUUAGUUUAAUCGCAGUAUUUAGUUUUAUAGAUUAAGGAAAUUUAGAUUUAGUUAUAAAUUGUGUUAUUGGUAAAAUUCGUGCCAGCUACCGCGGUUAUACGAUAGAUGAAAAUGAAUUAAAUUAGUUGAAAGUUAUUAAUAAAAUGGGAUUAAACAUUAAUAAUUUUUAGGUAGAAUUAUUUAAAAUUAUUUUUAAUGAUUCUAGUAGUGGUUAUGAAGCUUUGAAACUUUAAUUAAAGACUAGGAUUAGAUACCCUAUUAUGUAAGGUGUAAAUUUAUUAGACUAGAGUAGUAAUAGUUAUGGUCUUGAAACUCAAAGAAUUUGGCGGUGUUUUAGUCUAUUCAGAGGAAUCUGUCCUAUAAUUGAUAAUUCACGAUUAGGUAAACUUAAUCUUUAGGAUUUGUAUACCGCCGUCAUCAGAAUAUUUUUGUAGAAAAUUUUCUUAAUAUUUAAUUAAAUUGAAUGUCAGGUCAAGGUGCAGUUUGUGGUUAAGAAGAGAUGGAUUACAAUAAAGAGAUUUAUUACGGAUGAAAAUUUUGAAGAUUUUUUAAAGGUGGAUUUGAUAGUAAUUAUAAUAUAAAUGUUGUAAUGAUUUUAGCUCUAAAAUAUGCACACAUCGCCCGUCGCUCUCAUUUUAAGUGAGAUAAGUCGUAACAAAGUAGAUGUACUGGAAAGUGUAUCUAGAAUG
rnacentral:ncRNA from 1 species